rnacentral:lncRNA from 1 species
GAGCGACAAGGCACGACUCAUAAUCUUGGGUAAGGAAUGGUGGCUUCAUCCCAGGCCAAUAAACGAAUCUACCUUGCGGAGUUGAAGUAAUUACCAAGCCUUGAGCUGGGCCUGAUAAAGGGAUCUCCUGGAUGGAGUCCGAGUUGUAGUCGCAGUCCUCAACUGUCUCUAGUCUGGGUUGGACUCGAGUAAGGAAUUCUUAGUGGAUCAUGGCUGUGUUGUGGAGUUUGAGUGGGAGUCGACUUCGGGUCGGAGUCGGUUUGUGUGAUGACUUAGACGCCAGCCGGUGUUUGCUAGUCUGAGCCGUAGUUGAACUCAAUGUUGUUGACAUUGAAAUUUUGGAUUUUCUCGAUGAAAUCCUCUGCUUCUUGAUGAAGAAAGUUUUCACAGAGACACUUCUUUUCCUAGUUGCUGAUGAUGCAGCGUUGAAAGGAUCCAGCACCGUCAGCAAUGCAAAGUCAGGAGCAGAAAAU